GAUUGUAACGCGUGGAUAACCUACCUCAAGGACUGGGAUAACACCGGGAAACUGGUGCUAAUACCGGAUAAGCUCAUCGGGGCACAUGCUUUGAUGAGGAAAGGAGAAAUCCGCUUUGAGAUGGAUCCGCGUCCCAUUAGCUAGUUGGCGGUGUAACGGACCACCAAGGCUUCGAUGGGUAGCCGGCCUGAGAGGGUGGACGGCCACACUGGAACUGACACACGGUCCAGACUCCUACGGGAGGCAGCAGUGGGGAAUCUUCCGCAAUGGGCGAAAGCCUGACGGAGCAACGCCGCGUGAAUGAUGAAGGCCUUCGGGUUGUAAAAUUCUGUCUUCAGGGAAGAAAAAAAUGACGGUACCUGAGGAGGAAGCCCCGGCUAACUACGUGCCAGCAGCCGCGGUAAUACGUAGGGGGCGAGCGUUGUCCGGAAUUACUGGGCGUAAAGGGCGCGUAGGCGGUUUCUUAAGUCAGAGGUGAAAACUAUGGGCUCAACCCAUAGCCUGCCUUUGAAACUGGGAGACUUGAGGACAGGAGAGGGGAGUGGAAUUCCCAGUGUAGCGGUGAAAUGCGUAGAUAUUGGGAGGAACACCAGUGGCGAAGGCGGCUCUCUGGCCUGUAACUGACGCUGAGGCGCGAAAGCGUG
rnacentral:rRNA from 1 species